rfam:Pristionchus pacificus strain PS312 contig6601, whole genome shotgun sequence.
UCUUCAUUUCACGCACUUUGUCACCGAUCAGAGAGGCGAGAGAGUACGUGAAAUGAAGAGA